GUGGCUCACUUCGGCAGCACAAGUACUAAAACUGGAACAAUACAGAGAAGGUAGCAUGGCCCCCACACAAGGAUGACAUUCAAAUUUGUGAAGUCCUCCAUAUUUUU
ensembl:snRNA U6 U6 spliceosomal RNA